GAUGAACGCUGGCGGCGUGCUUAACACAUGCAAGUCGAACGAAGCAUUUAGGACAGAUUACUUCGGUUUGAAGUUCUUUAUGACUGAGUGGCGGACGGGUGAGUAACGCGUGGGUAACCUGCCUUGUACUGGGGGAUAGCAGCUGGAAACGGCUGGUAAUACCGCAUAAGCGCACAAUGUUGCAUGAAAUGGUGUGAAAAACUCCGGUGGUAUAAGAUGGACCCGCGUCUGAUUAGCUAGUUGGUGAGAUAACAGCCCACCAAGGCGACGAUCAGUAGCCGACCUGAGAGGGUGACCGGCCACAUUGGGACUGAGACACGGCCCAGACUCCUACGGGAGGCAGCAGUGGGGAAUAUUGCACAAUGGAGGAAACUCUGAUGCAGCGACGCCGCGUGAGUGAAGAAGUAAUUCGUUAUGUAAAGCUCUAUCAGCAGGGAAGAUAGUGACGGUACCUGACUAAGAAGCUCCGGCUAAAUACGU
rnacentral:rRNA from 1 species